rnacentral:rRNA from 1 species
AUUGAACGCUGGCGGCAUGCUUUACACAUGCAAGUCGAACGGUAACAGGUCUUCGGAUGCUGACGAGUGGCGAACGGGUGAGUAAUGCAUCGGAACGUGCCCAGUCGUGGGGGAUAACGCAGCGAAAGCUGCGCUAAUACCGCAUACGAUCUACGGAUGAAAGCGGGGGACCGUAAGGCCUCGCGCGAUUGGAGCGGCCGAUGUCAGAUUAGGUAGUUGGUGGGGUAAAGGCUCACCAAGCCAACGAUCUGUAGCUGGUCUGAGAGGACGACCAGCCACACUGGGACUGAGACACGGCCCAGACUCCUACGGGAGGCAGCAGUGGGGGAA